CUUGAUUGCUUGAAUCUCCUCGUCCAUGGCACGUUUCCACUUCUCGCUUUUUACUGUGUCUUCAUAGCUUAUUGGCUCACAAUCGGCAAGAAGGCAGAACAAUGUUAGAUUCUCCAUAGGCUGAGUUACCUCGCACAACUCCUCAAUGCUCCUUGUGCGAUGUUGUAGCCUACUUGAUUCUCCUCCUGAUGUUGGUGUCGCUUCAUUUGGUGUGGUUAGAGUAUGUGGAGAGUGCGGAGAUGGUGUACUAGAUGGUUCUUGAACCUCUAGAUAUUCUUCGUUCC
rnacentral:lncRNA from 1 species